rnacentral:rRNA from 1 species
AUUGAACGCUGGCGGCAGGCCUAACACAUGCAAGUCGAGCGGCAGCGGAAAGUAGCUUGCUACUUUGCCGGCGAGCGGCGGACGGGUGAGUAAUGUCUGGGAAACUGCCUGAUGGAGGGGGAUAACUACUGGAAACGGUAGCUAAUACCGCAUGACCUCGAAAGAGCAAAGUGGGGGAUCUUCGGACCUCACGCCAUCGGAUGUGCCCAGAUGGGAUUAGCUAGUAGGUGAGGUAAUGGCUCACCUAGGCGACGAUCCCUAGCUGGUCUGAGAGGAUGACCAGCCACACUGGAACUGAGACACGGUCCAGACUCCUACGGGAGGCAGCAGUGGGGAAUAUUGCACAAUGGGCGCAAGCCUGAUGCAGCCAUGCCGCGUGUGUGAAGAAGGCCUUAGGGUUGUAAAGCACUUUCAGCGAGGAGGAAGGCAUCAUACUUAAUACGUGUGGUGAUUGACGUUACUCGCAGAAGAAGCACCGGCUAACUCCGUGCCAGCAGCCGCGGUAAUACGGAGGGUGCAAGCGUUAAUCGGAAUUACUGGGCGUAAAGCGCACGCAGGCGGUUUGUUAAGUCAGAUGUGAAAUCCCCGCGCUUAACGUGGGAACUGCAUUUGAAACUGGCAAGCUAGAGUCUUGUAGAGGGGGGUAGAAUUCCAGGUGUAGCGGUGAAAUGCGUAGAGAUCUGGAGGAAUACCGGUGGCGAAGGCGGCCCCCUGGACAAAGACUGACGCUCAGGUGCGAAAGCGUGGGGAGCAAACAGG